rnacentral:rRNA from 1 species
AAUUAAACAAAUAAGGGUGUAUGGUGGAUGCCUUGACAGUUUGAGCCUAAGAAGGACGCAGCAACCUGCGAAAGCUUCGGUGAGGUGGUAAGCAACCUUUGAUCCGGAGGUGUCCGAAUGGGGAAACCUAUCUGUUUGAAGAACAGAUGAUCAGUAUCCGUGGUGGAUACGAGAUCGGGAACCAUGCGAAGUGAAACAUCUCAGUAGCAUGUGGAAAAGAAAAUAAGGGCAUUAUUUAAUUUGAACUUUUGAUAUUGAAGUUCAAAUCGAAUAUUGUCUCAUUCUCCUAGUAGUGGCGAGCGAACGGGGAGGAGUCUAAACUAACUUUGUGUCUUCGAGUCGAAGAGUAAUCGCAAGAUUAUUUCAAACUCGGAUUAAAGCUUACAGGCGUUGCAAGGAUUAGUGUUGUAACAAUCAUUCAUUAGAACUCUGUAAAGUUCUUGAAGAUUCAGUUGGAGCUGUUUAGCCGAAUGGUCUGGAAAGACCAGCCAAAGAACGUGAUAGCCGUGUAGCGCGAAAAACCUCUUAUAUCUUCCGAAUGGUUUGUUAAGUACAACUAGACACGUGAAAUCUAGUUGGAAUCUGUGUCGACUACGACAUAAGACUAAAUACUCAAAUUGAUCGAUAGUGAACAAGUACCGCGAGGGAAAGGUGAAAAGCAGCCCGGUGAGGGCGAUGAAAUAGUACCUGAAACCAUACACUUACAAUCGAGUGGGAGCUCCAACGCCGCAGGGUGUUGUGAGUGACCGCGUGCCUAUUGAAGAAUGAUCCAACGAGUUAGCCGUACGUUGCUUACUUAAGCAUUAUCAAAUGCGAAGGUAUAGUGAAAGCGAGCCUUAAUAGGGCGUAAAAAUCAGAUAUCAGAUAAUCGGAGAUUUUCCGACCUCUGAUUUCCGAUUUUAGGUAGCGUGCGCUAAACCCGAAACCCGGUGAUCUACUCAUGGUCAGGAUGAACGUUAUGUAAAAGUAACGGGAGGUCCGAACGCUAGAAUGUUGCAAAAUUCCGCGAUGAACUGUGAGUAGGGGAGAAAUUCCAAUCGAACUGGGUAAUAGCUGGUUCUCCUCGAAAUAGCUUUAGGGCUAGCCUGUGCCGCACGUGUUUGAGGUAGAGCACUGAAUCGGCUCUGCGGGAGCAAUCUCGUAGACCGAACCAAACUCCGAAUUCAAACACUUAAGGGCAUGGAGUCAGACAAUGAGGUCUAAGCUUCGUUUGUCUAAUGGAGAAGAAUCCACACCGCCGUUUAAGGUCCCUAAAUCAAAACUAUAGUGUAAAGGAUGUGGGAACACUUAUACAACCAGGAGGUUGGCUUAGAAGCAGCCAUCCUUUAAAGAAAGCGUAACAGCUCACUGGUCAAGCGUUCUUGCGCCGACAAUGUAUAGGGGCUAAGUUUUGUACCGAAGACGCGGAUCCAAGUUCGGAGGUCAGAAAUCAGAUGUCAGAGGUCAGAGAAAUCCGACUUCUGAUUAUCCGACUUCCGAUCUCUGAACUUGGGUGGUAGAGGAGCGUUGUAUGUGGGCUGAAGCAGAGAGGGAACUCUCUGUGGACUGCAUACAAGUGAGAAUGUUGGAAUAAGUAAUAUGUAUGCAUGUGAGAAUCAUGCACACCGAAAAUCCAAGGUUUCCUGGGCAAUGAUAAUCAUCCCAGGGUUAGUCGAUCCUAAGUUCGUACCCGAACGGGUGCGGAUGAUGGCAAAUACGGUUGAUAUUCCGUAACCGCUUAUAAUACUGAUGCAAUUACACAUCAUGGUAAUCCGAGCAUAUUUUGACUAUAUGUGUUCUUGUGUUCUUAGCUGGGUGCUUGAGGUAAACCCCAAGCGUCUAUGUGUCCAGUUCGGAGGUCAGAGAUCAGAUGUCAGAGAUCGGAGAAAUUCGACUUCUGAUUAUCCGACUUCCGAUCUCCGAACUUGGAUUACUGUAACAGUGAAAACAUGAGAGAAGCUCGGUAACGGGCAAUUUGGACGAACCAAGGUGUCAAGAAACGUUGCUAGGGAUUAGCGAAGUUGUCUCGCAAGAGGUGACUUUGCUAAAUAGUUAUAAGUGAUCGUACCGCAAACCGACACAGGUGGAUGAGUGCUAGAAUACUAAGGUGACCGGGACAAUAAUCCUUAAGGAACUCGGCAAAAAAGCAGGCGUAAGUUAGCAAUAUGCCUUGCCCAGCCCCACUCUUCAGAUUCUAUGAUGAAUUUGAGAGUAAUGUUCCAGUUUAAGACAAUACACUCUAAGACAUAGUAGUUUUUGAUGAGUGGAGCUGGGUCGCAGCGACUGACCCCUCCCGACUGUUUAUCAAAAACUUAGGUCCGUGCAAACCCGCAAGGGGAAGUAUACGGGCUGAUGCCUGGCCAGUGUUAGAAGGUUAAACUCUUUUGCGCAAGCUCAAGAGCCAAGCCCUAAUGAACGCCGGCGAUAACUAUAAUCGUCCUAUGGUGAACUAAAAGCUGCCAUAGUAAAACUUGGCCAAAUGCUGGGAUAUCUGGUGUAUCGAGCGCUACUAGGUUAUAAUGACAAUGGAUAUUUAUUCCUUGUCUUAUGAAACAAAGUAAAAAUGCGUCUCGUGCAGACAAUCAGCAGGAAAGGCUAAUUGGUUGGAUUUUAGGGUUUGUUGAUGGAGAAGGUUGUUUCUCGAUUAAUUUCACGAAACAGCCAGAUCGUCAGGAAGCCACUAGAAUCCGGAGAGGUUACAAGACUGGUUAUCAAAUUUCGCAAAACUUUGCAGUAGUGCAAGGUCAGCGUAGUCUAAGGUCUUUAGAAGUGAUUAAGAUUUUCUUCGGAAUUGGUAAAAUUUACCGAAAUCGAAGACAUGAUAAUCAUAAAGAAGAUUUAUACAGCUAUAAAGUUACUAAUCGCGAAGAUUUGAAACGAGUAAUUAUUCCCUUUUUUAAACGGAAUAAACUGAUAACCUCGAAGCGAAAUGAUUUUUUGUUGUUCGCAAAGUGUGUUGAGUUAAUGCUACAGAAUAAGCACCUCGCAAUUGGCGGAAUGCUUAAAAUAGCCAGACUUACACAAAAGAUGAAUCACAAAAAAUCGCGAGAUAAACUAAUUAGAAUCCUCAGAGACUAUACGCCAAGGUCGUCCAAAAGACGACAAGAUAUAGUCCCAACUGCAUAGCGAUAUGCAGGCUUAACAGCACUUAAUCAUAAAAGAUUAAGAAAGACCCGAGCGAAAUUCCUUGUCGUGUAAGUUACGACCCGCACGAAUGGCAUAACGAGUAGGGGACUGUCUUAAGGAUUAACCCGAUGAAUUUACAUUGACGGUAAAGAUGCCGUCUACCCGCAACAAGACGGAAAGACCCUAUGAAGCUUUACUAUAGUGUGUCAUUGAUGCAAGAAUUUUUUUGUUUAGCAUAGGUGGGAGCCUUCGAAGUACUGGCGCUAGCUGGUAUGGAGGCGACAAGUGAAAUACCACCCUGAAAGAUUUUUGUUUCUAACCUUUAUUUAACCAACAAAGGGACAGUGGCUCAUGGGUAGUUUAACUGGGGCGGUUGCCUCCUAAAUGGUAACGGAGGCGUUUAUUAAGGUGAGCUUAGCUCCGAUGGAAACGGAGUGUGACGCGCAAACGCAAAAGCUCGCUUAACUGCAAGGCUGGCACGCCGCGCAGAUACGAAAGUAGAAGUUAGUGAUCCGACCAUCCUUCGUGGAAGGGUGGAAGCUCAACGGAUAAAAGUUACUCUAGGGAUAACAGGCUGAUCUAGUCCAAGAGUCCAUAUCGACGACUAGGUUUGGCACCUCGAUGUCGGCUCAUCGCAUCCUGGAGCUGGAGAAGGUUCCAAGGGUUUGGCUGUUCGCCAAUUAAAGCGAUACGCGAGCUGGGUUCAAAACGUAAACUACAUUGCGUUGUAUCAUAGAAAUAUGAUAUUAUUAUCUGACUAAUAUCGGUGAAACCCGAAGUUGUUCUCCAAAUGACAACUGGGCAAUACCGAGGGAAGAUCAGAUUAUGUCGAGUGAAGAAAAGUCUUAUAUAGCUGGGUUUCUUGAUGGUGAUGGAUGUAUUAUGGCUCAACUUGUGAAGCAUAAAGAUUAUGUCUUUGGUUUCCAGGUUCGGGUGAGCAUAGUGUUCUAUCAGAAAACAAAUCAUCAAGAAAUUCUUUCUUGGCUUAAAUCUAUGUUAAAUCUUGGUUAUAUUCGUCAUCGAAAUGACGGAAUGACCGAGUAUACUAUAGUUGGUUUGAAAGAAGUAAGAGAAAUUUUAACUCUUCUUUCUCCAUUUCUUCGCUUAAAAAAAGUUUUAGCUCAGGAAGUUUUGAAAUUAAUUCGAAGCUAUCCUCUAAAAAUGACUCCGAAAGAAUUAGUUCGUCUAAGUAAAUUAGUGGAUAAAACCGCAAAAUUUAAUUAUUCAAAAAAACGAACCAAUACUUCGGUUUCAGUUGAGACUUUUUUGAAAGAACAUAAUCUUUUCCCCGUAGAGACUGAAUCGCAGGCAAGAACUGCGUGAAGAUAUCUCACUUUUGUGAGGUAUAAUACGUCAGCCCCUCCUCUAUCUCUUAUAGAGAGGGUGAAGAUAUAGUCCAUGCCAUUAGUAAUAAUGGAAUUACAUGCGUGAGACAGUUUGGUCCUUAUCUGUUGUGGGUGUUCGAAACUUGAGUGGGUGCAUCCUUAGUACGAGAGGACCAGGAUGCAUAGACCUCUGGUGUAUCCGUUGUCCCGUCAGGGGCAUGGCGGAGUAGCUAGGUCUAGUUAAGAUAAACGCUGAAUGCAUAUAAGCGUGAAGCUGUCCACAAAACUAGGUUUCGUUGUCCUUCGGGACGAUAGGUUC